GAUUCUCUGGAGAGUCUCGCAAAGAGCGCCGAAGGUGUACGCGCGGAUUUCCGGCCGCAGGAGGCAGGACCGUGCAAUCUCUCAGGCAAAAGGACAGAGCAGA
rnacentral:ncRNA from 1 species